GUCUGUGGCCAUGCCACCCUGAACAAGCCUGAUGUCUGAUCUUGGAAGCUCAGCAGGGUCGAGCCUGGUUAGUUCUUGGAUGGGAGACCACUUAGGAAGACCAAGUGCUGUAGGUG
rnacentral:rRNA from 1 species